CGCGAAAACUUUACAAUGCUGGCAACAGCGAUAAGGGAACCUCGAGUGCCAGGUUACAAAUCUGGCUGUCGAGAUGCCUAAAAAGCAUUUCAUAGCAAGGGCCGGGCAAGACCGGUGCCAGCCGCCGCGGUAACACCGGCGGCUCGAGUGGUAACCGUUAUUAUUGGGUCUAAAGGGUCUGUAGCCGGCCGGAUAAGUCUCUUGAGAAAUCUGGCAGCUUAACUGUCAGGCUUUCAGGAGAUACUGUCUGGCUCGAGGCCGGGAGAGGUGAGAGGUACAUCAGGGGUAGGGG
rnacentral:rRNA from 1 species